GCGAGCAUGCUGGAAUUGGCAGACAGGCACGUUUGAGGGGCGUGUGCUUAUGGCGUAUGGGUUCAAGUCCCAUUGCUCGCACCA
rnacentral:tRNA from 1 species